AGACCACCAUGAUGACUUGUAAGCAACUCAAUGUACUUUAGUAUCGGAUCAUCUGAAUUUCUAAUUCAGUGAUGAAAGGAUACUGGGUGCAGUCAAGUACUUAUCAAGUCGGUGUGUGAGUCAAGAUGGAAUUGAUCCCUCUGAAUUAGUAGGAGAUGUGCAUUAGUGUAUUUCAAUUUAGUACAACCUUGGAUAAGAUAAUCCAUGAGAUGAAUUUGAAAAGUUAAAAUACACUGUGAUUGACUAAAUUAGGGUUGACAGUU
rnacentral:lncRNA from 1 species